GUUUCUGUUUAAAUGCUUUGUCGACUGAAGCUUCUGGUUCAUGGAUGGAGCAGAAAGGCAAAACCUGGGCACUCGAAUUGCUGUCGGUGGCAUGCUUGUCGUUGGCGGCGAAGAUGGAAGAACACAGCGCGCCUGCGGUCUCAGAAUUCCGAGUGAAAGGCUACAGAUUCAGCAGCGAAGCAGCACAGAGAAUGGAGCUUUUUGUCUUGAGUACAUUAGAGUGGAGGAUGCUUACCGUCACGCCUUUCGCUUAUCUGAAUGUCUUCGCAUCCAAGUUUGAUGAACGUGGACAGAAGGGAUUGAUAUCCAAAGCCAUCGACUUCAUCUUUGCAGCUAUGGAAGGUUGGUAACACUCGCUUAAUCUGAUACCU
rnacentral:lncRNA from 1 species